rnacentral:tRNA from 1 species
GCCGGCGUAGCUCAGCAGGCAGAGCGGGCGAUUCGUAAUCGCCAGGUCAGGGGUUCGAAUCCCCUCGCCGGCUCCA